CAAAGGUUUGGUCCUGACCUUACUAUCAAUUUUAGCUAGAUUUACACAUGCAAGUAUCCGCACCCCUGUGAGAAUGCCCUCAGUUCCCCACCCGGAAACAAGGAGCUGGUAUCAGGCACACCUAACUAGUUAGCCCAAGACACCUUGCUUAGCCACACCCCCAAGGGAGUUCAGCAGUGAUAAACAUUAAGCCAUAAGUGAAAACUUGACUUAGCCAAUGCUAAGAGGGUCGGUAAAACUCGUGCCAGCCACCGCGGUUAUACGAGAGACCCAAAUUGCUAGUUUCCGGCGUAAAGCGUGGUUAGAAUAAGUUCUUACUAAAGCCGAACAUCGUUCAGGGCUGUUAUACGCACCCGAAGGUAAGAAGACCAAUGACGAAAGUAGCUUUAUCCUAUUUGAAUCCACGAAAGCUAUGGCACAAACUGGGAUUAGAUACCCCACUAUGCCUAGCCCUAAACAUUGACAGUAUGCUACAUCUACUGUCCGCCUGGGUACUACGAGCAUCAGCUUGAAACCCAAAGGACUUGGCGGUGCUUUAGAUCCACCUAGAGGAGCCUGUUCUAGAACCGAUAACCCCCGUUCAACCUCACCCUUCCUUGUUUAUCCCGCCUAUAUACCACCGUCGUCAGCUUACCCUGUGAAGGUCUCAUAGUAAGCAAAAUUGGUACAACCCAAAACGUCAGGUCGAGGUGUAGCGCAUGGAGGGGGAAGAAAUGGGCUACAUUCACUAGUACAGUGAAUACGAACGAUGCAUUGAAACAUGCGUCUAAAGGAGGAUUUAGCAGUAAGUAAAAA
rnacentral:rRNA from 1 species